UGGUUCAAAACUUUGAUAAAAGCAUCGAUAUUUUUACAAAAAGUGUCUUCAAUCUCAGCUUAUCCGAUUAUUCAUGAAGGAUAUCCUCAUCAGAACAGUUGGAAUAGAUUGUAGGGAAUAGCAUAACCUUAAUCAUAUGCAUGACGAUGAUAUGGAGGAAAAAUAUACAUAAAAAAGUGAAUGUAGGUGAAAGCCUGUCCACUUUUCUGAAGAGAUUAGAGAGAAGAAAACUGUGUGACUUUAAAAGAAAACCAGUGAGAUAAAAUUAUAGAAAAUGUAUGAUGAUUCAGGAUGUGGUCAUUUGGUCCUGUUCUGUGGAUGCCCUUAGACAGUGUCUACCCAUCACUCCAUCUGAAAUCACUUGUUCUGUGCAUAUUUCUCUCUCAAACUUAAACUACAGAGAGCCUGUGGAUAGAGGAUGAAGAGUGACCUUGGACUAAUUUUCUAGGUCAAAGAUCAUAGGUGAUGUGAAGAAAACCAGGAAACUGAUGUUGAAAGAAGUACUUAAUGACCCUUAUGAAUGGACUUAAAUGUGAAAGACUGUUCCAUUGUUUAUCUAAGAUAUAUGAAUUUAUUUAAUAUUUUGAUAUCAUUGAAAAAUUCAGUUACAGUUUUUGUACAUCAAAUGAAUUAUUAAACAUAUAAAAUGGUAA